CUGGGGUGCUGGAGACUGAGAGAGGAAAAUAACUACCUUUGCAAUCUUUGACAGCAGAGAGACUAAGGCAGAAUUUUCUGAUUUCAUAUAGUAUUUUGACAAAUGUGUAAAAUGCCCAGUAUGUGUAAGCUGCUAAAUGAACAUCCUGGCCCUGGAUAUGGAGCAGCAUGCUUAAUAAGAAUGCAAAAUGUUCUGGAACGUCACUGCUCAAAAGUGUAGCUCCACAGGCUGGUAGUGUUGGCCUCCCUGGUAACUUAUCAGAAACAUGGAAUCUUAGGCCCCACCCCAAUUCUCCAAAUCAGAACCUGCAUUUUAACAAGAUCUCUAGGUAAUUUGCAUGCACAUUGAAGUCGGAAAAGCGAUGGGCUAGAAGGAAUAUGAACUUUGGCAUCUGAAAGAAAUAGACUUGAAUCCCAGCUUCUCCAUUUGUUAUCUGUGUUGCCUUGGAAAAAUUGCAUAACCUUUCUGACAUUGUUUUCUAAUCUAUAAAUUGAACUUCAUAAUAUCUUGUAAAUUGUUUUAA
rnacentral:lncRNA from 1 species